UACAGAGGGGGCAAGCGUUAUUCGGAAUUAUUGGGCGUAAAGAGCUCGUAGGCGGCUGCUCAAGUCGAAUGUGAAAACUCGAGGCUCAACCUCGAGCCUGCAUUCGAUACUGGGCGGCUAGAGUCUGGUAGGGGGAGUCUGGAAUUCCUGGUGUAGCGGUGGAAUGCGCAGAUAUCAGGAGGAACACCGGUGGCGAAGGCGGGAUCCUGGGCCAGUACUGACGCUGAGGAGCGAAAGCGUGGGGAGCAAACAGG
rnacentral:rRNA from 1 species